rnacentral:tRNA from 1 species
CUGAUAAUUGCGUCGUUGUGCCUGGGCUGUGAGGGCUCUCAGGGGCGAGGUCUCUGGUUCAAGUCCAGGAUGGCCCA